AUCUUUUUUUAUUAGCGAAGAUCCAUUGGCAUUAAGAUGAUGUAAGCACUCGCCAAUACUCAAGACAGUUGAUGUAUUCCUUGCUUUACCUUGUACACCUCUUGAUGAUUAAUCAUUCCUUAGAUGAUAUCUCGUUGCCGUAACCAAGCGUAAUGAACAUGUAUGAAAAGAAAAGAAUAGUAAAAGAAAGCAUAGGCAAAUGGAAAUUGUCACGUGCCUCUUCAGCAUUGCAUGUGCCAAAAUCGCAUCACAUCAGGUAGAGGCGGCAAGGUCAGGCACAUAUGUGGAUGUGCAUGAAUAUCUCGCGGAAGUAGCAAGCACAACUCCAGCUCUAAAGCGAGGACACCAUGGGACAGAUGCACCUCAUGUGUAUGGAUGGCGCAUAUGUGGAUGUGCGUGAAUAUCUCGCGGUGGCAGCAAGCAUAGCUCCUGCUCCAAAGCCAUGCCACCAUGGCACAGUUGCACCUCAUGUGCGUGGAUGCCACAACUCCAGUGGGAGGGGUUCCUGUGCGGAUACAACGAUAGGCAAGCUUAUAGGGAAGUGGUUAUAUCAUGAAUGUGGAGGAGGCAAGUAAAGAGAAAUGGAUAACAAAGAGGGCGGGAAUUACAUUGGCAAAUCAUUGUAGAAAUAUAACUGGGUAAAGCAAGUAAAAAAUAGUUGCAGCUAAAGGUGACGAAUAUUCUAAAAAUUACAAAUGAGAGAAACAUCCUUACCUUCUCAAGAAUUCCAAAUUUGAUUGAUAGCAGACGUCUUACCGCACAUCGUCAAGAAUCCUAGCAAGUUUGAAUCAACAAUUUUAAAAUAGGAAUUAUAUAAUACGAUAUCAAUCACUAAAUUAUUGAAAAUAAAAAUGGGAGUACAAAAAUGUCAGGGAGAUGCCAUAGUCCAAGUGCUACCCUUCUGUUGCAUGAUCUGGGACCAAAUUAAUUUGCAAUUUAGAAAGUCAUCAGAGAGAAAAAACGGUUGUGGGAUUAGGCACGCAUGCUAUAGAUGCCAUGCUUCAAGGAGAGAAGCUAGGAACUGCAAGCGGUGUGUGGUGUCGCCGACAGAUUCAGUGAUGUUAGCUCUGACACAAAAUUCCAAUCAACUCUGAAUUUGUAGUCAAGGAAACAACUACCGACCACAACAUACUACAACUGAAAUGCAAGUCCAGGCAUAACCAAUGAAGUUCUACCCGAGGUGCAUUUGAGAGUCUUGAACUUUUUAAAACAAAAUUGAGAUUUUUGAACUUGUGCAUACUACUGUUGUAAUGAAACUACACGAAAGUUCAAAAGGUCAUACCUUGGGAGUAUAUAGAGAGGGGGGAAUAGAUACAAUUAUAAUCUACUACGGUGCCCUGAUGAAAAAGAGAUGUUUAAUUAUCAAGUUUGCCAAUCAUGAAAAAACAACAUUCAGAUAAGUAAAGCUCACCGUAAAGAUUAAGCAGGCCAAUGUUGUUGAAAAGAUGUUCCAUUCCACUUGAACCGGUCGGUUGCGUUCCUGUGUUUGGAAUAGACAAUUAUGUGGAAUACAGAACAGUUCCAUUUAGAUGCUUGGUUAGAGAGACUAAAUGGAAUGGAUUUGAUUGAACUCACCUCUUGACACGGGAAUGAUGAGAUUACCUAUAACAUAUAUCUUUUUACAUUUAUAGUUCGAAUACAUAGUAGGUCAUUGAAAUAUAUGCCAAAAUCUAUCGGAUGAACCCGCAAUCCAUUUUAGAAAUUAAACUAAUGUUUGGCCAUGCAACAAACAAACCGAUAACAAACUUGACGGAUUGGAGUGCUAAAUCAAAAUAAAAUUCAUCCGGUAAAUAACCAGAAAAAGAAAUUGUAAAUAUAGUGAUUCAUUUGUGGGUGACAUGCAUAGCAUAACACGGUUCUGCACACACACAAAUCAACUUUUUCACCGGUCGGCAAUUGCUUGUGGCUGGACGGAUCUUGAUCCGCCUACUUGCUGUUGAUUGCUGUUGGUCGCCACACGGCCAAGAACUCACGCCAACACUUAGGUGGAGAAGGAUGGUAGGUGGAAGAGGAGAUGCGACAUGGAUCAUCUGGGAUGAUGGUGAUGCGCGUCCUUGCCGUCGCCAAGCCCAGACCGAGCAGGUUCCCCAGUUGCAGGUACCACCAACAGCUGUCGCUCGCCUCCCAGCUACCGCAUCCCCGCCGGUGUCACCUUCCCCCAAGGCCCUGCUGCUAGCCGCCGCCCCAGUCGUGGGUGGCACCAGACGGCGGGAGGAUAGACCGAGAGGUUGACGAAGAGAGGAGUGGUGGUGCCGAUGAGAAGGGGUCGCGAGUGAGCAAUCCCCGGGAAAUCGCAGAGGGGAGCCGAGCCCGCGGUCCUGCGCGUGAUACGUAAUGGGAUCCCAGCCGCCGCAUUGGACUGUACGUAGGGAAAAGGAAGUCGAUGGAUUUAGCUGAAUCGAGGGAGAGAGAUGGUCACAAUUCUAUACGUUAUUUUUCUUUCGGCUUCUGUACGCUGUUUGUGUACGCUGGGGAGCCGGUGGUGGGUCUCUACAGCUGGUAACCGAAGGGUGACAUGUCCAUUAUGUAUGUUGGUCAAUCUGUGGUGGGUCCCUUAUAUAAGCUAGUGAAGAAAUGCUGAUGUGGCAGAUUGAUGAUGUUGAUAGCUUGCAUGUCAAGAGAAAUAGGAUAGUGGGGAUGAACUAUAUAUUUAGGUAUUAUAGAUAUCCUACUAAGACUACAGACAUCCAGUCAGCCUGAGAUUAGAAAAACGCAUGGGUCAGAACAAGUUAGGGUAUUAGGCGCAAGCAGACGGCAGCAGCAGAGUCUUCACCACCAGCCGCGGCUGCAGCAUGCACUGAUUAGAGAAUCAACUUCCACAUAACCUUAACUCCCGAUCCUUCCUAUUCCCAUCAGAUAUUCAUCGUCACUUGUGCUUGGCGUACUCGUCCUUUUCGUCUCCAACAUCCUUCAGCUAGAAAAGCUAGCACACUCAAGUGUUGCCACCGGAGUUCACACAAAAGAGUAUUGUUUUUAUGGGCUGCAGGGUCGUAGUAUGUGGAUAGGUGGCUUACACUGUUAGAAAUAUAAGCAAUUUACCGAAUGAUUUUAUUAACAGAAAUAGUAGAUAAAACAUGCCUAGUAUAGCAGUGAUGAAAUAAGCCAUGUGAUUUGACAAAGAGAAGGUAAACAACAUGUUUAUAUAUAAACCGUAACUAAACAUCUCUAGAGCAGACAAUAUAGCAGGUUGCACAUAUGAGUCUAACAUAUCUAGGGCAAAUACUAGAACCAGGAACUGUAGCAGAACCUCUAACAGAAAGGGGAGAGACACGUACGUGACAGCAGCAGGAGCAGAGGCACUGGACUUGGGGUCGGUGUCCUCCAUGUCGUCGAGGAGGUUGUCGAUGUCAGGGAAGUAGUCGUCGUCGGGGAAGUAGUCGUCGGAGUCCGGGGCGUCCGUGACGAAGAAGUCAGUAGUCGCGCAGAGCGCCCCCCAAAAACCUUAUCACCCUUCUCCCGUACAGGACUCAAAAGGUGCGGUUCCGGAGGCCUACUGUCCCGACCAGCAGUGCACGCCGCAAGCCGGGAUGAGGAAGAACGUAACAGCAGCGCAGUGCUCAGGAACUUGUGGUGAGAGGAGGAAGAGAUUCUGGUGCGUCUCUUUGAGAGGGGUGACCUCCCUUUUAUAGGCGCAAGAGAAGGAGGCGAGAGGCUGCGCCGGGAGCUGAAGGAAACGCGGAAGACGAAACGAACAGGCAGCAGCCGAAGAGGCGCGCCGUUCGGAUUCAGUGUCCAGUACAGAAAAAAUGUUUCAGCUUUCGAGUGACCUUUCGUAUACCCGUAGUGCAUGGCAAAAAUUUAGACAUCGGCUCGGUUCAUUCCCGCAACGCGCGGCGCGGCGCGGCGUGACGAGGCGAGCGGCGGAGGAGGAGCGCGCGUGGAUGUCCCCCUUGUUCUCAUGCUCAUACAAGUGGGGAAAGAACCUCCCUUAUAAGGAGGUCCAACUCCCACUCAACUAGCAAUGUGGGACUAAACAUUAGUAGUAUCCCUUGCCUUGCACAAAUGGGCUAAGUGGGCCUCUAGGAUUUAUUUAGGAAUUUCUGAAAUAGUUAUUGGGUUGUCCCAAAAUAGACUAAAUUCCAGCAAUCCCCCACCAGAUCCCAGAGGCAUACAAAAUUUGCCUUUGGUUCCAAAAUACGGUUUUAUAUACCGGUAAUGCAGUGGAGACUGUUAAGUUGAACUUCCACCUAGAACUCUAUACUACACUAGUAAGCAACUUGAACAGUGGACUGGGCCUUGAACUGCAAGUUUUCUGCGAAUCUAGCUUCACAUAAAGCCUUGACAGAUACGUGGCUACCGUGGGUCUUCCCCGCGGGUGGAGCUUAUGCGUCAUACUCCGAGACCUUUCAUGAGUUUACUAAAGAGAACCCUACUCUCAUAGAUUGCGACGUUUAACAAUCAGACUCAUAUAAGUACGUUCUUCAAAAGAUGUUCUGCAGGACAACAUCUCUGCUUCAAAGAGCCACUUAGAACACAUUAAGAUAUACAUCAACCUGCCAUGCAGAUUAGGAGAGUAUUGCAUCUUCAUGGAAUGGUAUUUUUAACAGUAAGGAUACUCUCCUCCCAGUUGACCAACAACUUGUCUUCCACAUCUAAUUCACGGGAUCUCUGAUCACAAAGAAUAGGUUACCACUGUGAACAACUCAUAUUGUGGGUCUCAUACCCAUCUCCCUUGAUGCAUUAUCUAUCACAUUACGUGGUAGACCCUUAGUAAAAGGAUCUGCCAGAUUUUUAGACGUUUGGAUAUAAUCCAAUACAAUAACUCCGGAGUUUUUAAUUUUUUUGACAGACUUUAACCUUCUCUGAACGUGUCUUGAUGACUUCAUGUUAUCCUUUGAGCUGCUCACUUUAGUGAUCACAGUUUGAUUGUCACAGUUCAUAAGGAUACCCGGUACAGGUUUCUCAACUACCGGCAAGUCAUUCAAGAGCCGACGAAGCCAAUCUGCUUCGACCGUAGUUGUAUCUAGUGCUGUGAGUUCUGCUUCCAUUGUUGACCUCGUUAAGAUGGUCUGCUUGCAAGACUUCCAAGAAACAGCGCCACCUCCAUGAGUGAAUACAUAUCCGCUCGUGACAUUUAUCUCAUCAACAUCUGAGAUCCAGUUUGAGUCACUAUACCCUUCAAGCACCUUUGGGCCGGUGUAGUGAAUUCCAUAAUUUGCAGUGCCUUUCAAAUAACGCAAAACUCUCUCUAGAGAUUUCCAAUGCACAUCUCCUGGUUUUGAGACAAACCGGCUCAGCUUGCUAAUAGCAAAAGAGAUGUCAGGUCUUGUAGCACUGGCUAAGUACAUAAGCGAGCCAAUGAUCUGAGAAUAUUUCAAUUGGUCUCUAGCAAUUCUCCGAUUCUUUCGAAGCAACACACUAGCAUCAUAUGGUGUUGGAGAUGGCUUGCAGUCACUGUAGCCAAAGCGACUCAAGAUCUUUUCCACAUAGUGGGAUUGAAGCAAUGUAAUCCCACCAUCAUCAUCUCUCAACAACUUGAUGUUCAGAAUGACAUCAGCUACUCCUAAAUCCUUCUUCUCAAAAUAGCGAGAUAGGAAAUCCUUUACCUCCUUAAUAACAUCCAGAUUUGUUCCGAAAAUCAGUAUGUCAUCAACAUACAAGCAAAGCAUAACUCCCUCGCCCCCACCAUGGCGAUAGUACACACAUUUGUCAGCUUCGUUCACAACAAAGCCUGCAGCUGUUAAAGUUCUUUCGAACUUCUCAUGCCACUGUUUGGGUGCUUGCUUGAGUCCAUACAAAGACUUCAGCAAGUUGCACACUUUCCCUUCCUGACCAUCUAUUACAAACCCAUCUGGUUGUUCCAUAUAAAUUUCCUCAUCCAACUCUCCAUUUAGGAAAGCAGUCUUAACAUCCAUUUGAUGAACGAGAAGACCAUGUGAGGCAGCUAGUGAAAGUAGAACUCGAAUAAUGGUCAGUCGAGCCACAGGUGAGUAAGUAUCAAAGAAGUCUUCACCUUCCUUUCGGGUAUAACCCUUAGCCACGAGCCGAGCCUUGUACUUUUCGAUAGUACCAUCAGGCCUAAGCUUCUUCUUGAAUACCCAUUUGCAUCCUAUAGGUUUGCACCCAUAAGGACGAUCAGUUAUCUCCCAAGUUUCAUUCACCAAGAUGGAAUCCAUCUCGCUACGAACUGCUUCCUUCCAGUAGUCAGCAUCUUCAGAUGCAUAGGCCUCUGAAAUAGAACUGGGAGUGUCAUCUAUGAGAUACACAAGAAAAUCAUCACCAAAGGACUUUGCAGUCCUCUGUCUCUUGCUCCUAAUAGGAACUUCAUUGUUCUCCUCCACAGGACUUUCAAAGUGUUCCAUCAAAAUGGCAGGUUCGGUAAUUGUAACUGGUUCCUGAUUCGAUGAACUAGGCAUCUCCUGAUUAGACGAGGUAGCCAUAUCCUUCAUGGAAAAGAUAUCUUUAAAGAAAGUUGCAUCAUUCGACUCCAUGAUCGUACCGACAUUCAUGUUAGGUACCUCAGAUUUUACAAGCAAGAAUCUAUAGCCAAUGCUAUGAAAAUCAUAUCCCAGGAAAACACAAUCCACAGUCUUUGGUCCAAGUUUUUGCUUCUUUGAAAUUGAAACAUUGACUUUCGCCAAACAACCCCAUGUUCGCAGAUAAGAGAGUUUUAACCUUUUCUUCUCCCAUUCCUCGAAUGGAGUUAUCUCUUUGUUCUUUGUGGGAACUCGAUUUAGGACAUGACAUGUUGUCAAUAUCGCCUCCCCCUAUCAUGCCAUGGAGAGACCCGAUGUGUCUAACAUGGCGUUAACCAAAUCAGUUAGAGUACGGUUCUUUCUUUCGGCCACCGCAUUUGACUGAGGUGAGUAGGAAGGCGUCCUCUCAUGGAUUAUACCAUGUUCCGCACAAAAAGCAUCAAAUUCAUUGGAAAAAUACUCUCCAUCACGGUCAGACCUAAGCCUCUUGAUUUUUCGAUCAAGUUGGUUUUCCACUUCAGCUUUAUAGAUCUUGAAAAAGUUCAAAGCCUCAUCCUUAGAUUUCAGAAGAUAACACGGCAGUAUCUAGUGGAGUCGUCAAUUAACGUCAUGAAAUAUUUCUUUCCAUCUUUUGUCAAAACACCAUUCAUUUCACAUAGAUCUGAAUGUAUAAGUUCUAGUGGUGCAAGAUUUCUCGUCUCCGCAGUCACGUGAGUCUUACGAGGUUGCUUAGCUUGCACACAUACUUGACACUUAGAUCCCUUGACAGUGGUGAAACUAGGGAUUAAGUUCAACUUCGCUAGUCGCAACAUGCAACCAAAGUUAACAUGACAAAGACGUGAAUGCCAUACAUUUGAUUCACUAUUGUUGCAAAUAUGAUUAACAACUUUAUUGCAAACGUCUGAUAAGGAUAAACGAAACAGGCCUCCUGACUCAUAGCCUUUACCAACAAAGGUUCCAUACUUGAAUAUUACAAAUUUAUUUGACUCAAAGACAAGCUUGUAGCCAUCUCUACACAGAAGAGAUCCGCUAACAAGAUUUUUAUUGACGGAGGGGACAUAAUGCAUGUUCUUCAGCCGCACGAUCUUCCCCGAAGUAAACUUCAGAUCGACCGUGCCAACACCAUGAACAGAAGAACUUGAACCGUUGCCCAUCAGCACGGUUGAAGUCCCUGCGGUCUGAUAAGACGAAAACAUGGUAAUAUCACCACAUACAUGCACAUUAGCACUCGUGUCAAUCAACCAAUCAGGAGAAUGACAUACUGAGAGAAUAGUGGGAAGUAUACCAUACCCAGCAUCCUUCAUGUCAAUGUCUUCGAUGACAACAUUAGCGGUCUUGCCGCCUUUCUCAGGAUGACGCUUGUCAUAGCGAUUGGGGCAACUAGGAGCCCAAUGAUCAGGAUCUCCACACACAUGACAAGCACCUUUCUUCUUGUCACUCUUCUUCUUGAAGUUCGUGUGUUGUACAGCCUUGUUCUUCCCAUCAAACUUUGCUUUACCAUCAAGCUUGCCCUUGUUCUUGAACUUGUGGGACUGGAAGUUUUUCUUCUGUACCAGAUUGGCACUAGAUCCUCCCUCAAUACCUUGAGCACGUGUGUCCUUUGCUCUCGCCUUUUCUUCCACAUCAAGAGUACCAAUGAGAUCCGGGACGGAAAACUCAUGUCUCUUAUGCUUCAGUAAGGUAGCAAAGUUCCUUCACGAAGGAGGAAGCUUAGUGAUGAUACCCCCGGCAACAAACUUGUCCGGUAGGAUACAAUUGAAGUGCUCAAGUUCUCUAGCAAAUGACUGUAUCUCAUGAGCCUGCUCAACCAUGGAGCGCUCUUCAGUCAUCCUGUAAUCAUAGAAUUGCUCCAUGAUGUACAGCUCAGUGCCGGCAUCCGAGACCCCAAACUUGGCCUCGAGUGCGUCUCACAUAUCUUUUCCAUUGUCAAUUGACGCAUAAGCAUCAACUAUGUUCUCACCAAGAACACUCAAGAGAGCAGCCUUAAACAAGGUAUCCAUUUUCUGAAAAGCUUGUGCCUGUUGGGCAUCUUGCUCUCCUUCAGGUUUGCCAAGAGUGGCGUCAUAGCAACUCAUAGUUUGAAACCAUAAGACUGCUCUCACGCGCUACCUCUUAUAAUGGAUACCCUCAAACAUAGGAGGUCUCAUGGAAGCAGCAAAACCAUUCGAGGUAAAUUGCCUAUAAUAAGGUUUUUGGAUGGGACUGACUAUUUAACAUCUGACUGAUUUCCAAUUGGGUUUCAGUCAAAUUUCCUGACAAAUAAACAUAUGACACCUGUAUGUCCAAACAAGGCCGACAAUCGUAUGUUUAUAUGUCCAACAAAACGGAUCGGGCUAAAUAUUCUGACCCGAUUCUCACUAAACCAAAAUAGAACCGAUUCCUGCUCAACUACGCAACUAACAAGGCCCUCCUGAACCACAAAACACCUGCGCCUAACAAAAAGAGAGAAAACAGGAAACAACUGCCCUUCAAUUUGCAUCCUACGCAAGGACCCAAACUCAACUACCCUAACCCCUCCACAGAUCUCCUGUAACACACCACAGCGCAGAACACAUCUGGGAGACGCGAUGGAAGAGGUGAGCAAGAAGAAAGAACAGAAACAAGUCAGAUAGAUAUGGGAGAGGGGAAAGUACCUGGAGAGAAUCAAAAGGGAAGAGCAGCUGCCAAUAUUUGGGGGAGGACAGAGGAAGAUCAUCCAAGAUAUGAUCCACAUGUCAGAAACUCUCCUACUCCUUUUGCUCACCCUUCUGAUGUACAGACACCUUUUACAUGAACUUGUCUGUAGAAAACAUCAAAGAAUCUAGUGAAAAAAUGGAAUCAUCAGCUUCUAACAGAUUGAAAAAGCAACACUGAAAUUUAUUUAGAUCAGGGUAAAAACAGCAAACCAACAGGAAACAUAGAGUUAAAAAGCAUUGUAAAUACACACGAAAAUAAGGGCAUAUGGUAAGUACACAUGAAAAUAUGUGCUCCAUUACGGUGUAAUGAAGCUGCAAUUUGCAUUGUCAGAAAACUAGGAAAUUAGAGAUAAAGCAUGGACUAUGAUAAAUGUGGGAUAUUACACUGUAAGGCAACUGAGGAUAUACAGUGAGAAAAUCAUAGGAAUUCCACUGUAAAUACCUACAGUAUAUAUAAUGUAAAAAAUGAGGUAUUUACAGAGCGUAACUCCCUAAAAAAAUCUUAGGUAUUCCACUGCAAUACCUACAAGUUUUACAAUGACUAUGUAGUAAAACUGGGGGAUAUUACAGUGAAAUCAAAUUGAAAAAGCACACUGUGGAAUGACAACAAUGAAGUAGGCACAAAGACAACAACUCAGAGACAUCAGAGAAAAUUCACUGAACAAAUCAGUGGAAAUUGCAGUGCAAACACCAAAGAAUGGCAGCGAUGAAUAACCACAGUAAAUUACAGUGCAAACACCAAUGAUUUACAGUGACUAAGGCCCUGUUCGGCAGCUCUCCAGCUCCGUAUAAUACGGGAGCGGACGGAGCGCCAGUUUUACAACUCCAGGAAAAUGCACUACGGGCCGCUCCGCUCCGGCCGCUCCAGGAGCAGAGCUGCGUAACGGAGGGCUGCCGAACACGGCCUAAAGCUCUAGAAUUACACUAUACAAUAUAAGGAAUUACUCUGAAAGUAAAUUACAGUGAAGGUACACAUGAAGUACGGUGCUUCACAAGGAAAAUUUACAGUCUAAAUACACUUGAAUUACUAUAAAUAAAUACAGCAAUAUACAAUCUAGGCACGCAGAAAUUAAACAGAAGCAAUUCAGGGCAUUCUGACAAAUUACGGUAAGCUCCUUGGAGGAACAUGUACGCACAAUGUCACACGAGUCUGCUGUUCAUAAGUUACUAUUAAUCAUAAAAGUGUUUGCUGUUCAUAUUUCUGCUAUUAUUGACAUAUAACAUUUCAAAAUUGCAGAUGGGAAGCAAGCAAAGAACAAUGACCAAAGGGGAUCUACUCACAAUGCCACAAGAAGAACUCAUUCUAAAUGUGAGAUAAGCAAAUAAUGAUAUCAGAAACUUGAAGAAAAAUUAUGUGUACAUAAUAACGAAAAGUUACAAUAUAUUGCAGGAAACAUUUUCAUUUACUGCCCUGCUACAACCUGACAUUAUAUACAAGGUAAAAGACCUAGUUAUCUACAUGAUGGACCUAGCAAAAGCAAAGCACGACGAAAAGAAUAGAUUUGUGCAAAAGAGGAGAACUAAAAAAUAUGUUGAAGCUUGCAGGUACAUUCAGGAGAUGGGCCUAGGAACACGUGUCAGCAAAGGAAGGAACACGUAUCAAGGAAUUUCAAGAAAGGUAAGUAAAAUAGUUUCUUAAUUGGUAUGCUUGAUUUCAAGAAAUGAAGAGAAUCGUUCAAUGACAGGUGGAGAUAAAAGAAGGCGGCAAGAAGAGGAACAGCGACAAGAAGCAGGAUGUAUCACCAACAACACAAGGCUAGAGCCGAAUUUUCAGGAGAGGGACAUGGAAGAAGAAGGAAAAGAAAGGAAAAUGGAAGGCAAGAAAAGACCAGAUGAGAUAGAGAAGAAAAUGGAAGAAGACAUGAAAAACACGAGAAUGAACUUUAGGAGACAAAAUCCAAAAAGGAAUACUUGAGUUGUACUUUGAGGGCAAACAUUCUUGCUACCUAAGAGAUAGAUUUCAGAAUGUUUUGCGAAAUUUAGAAUACAUUAUGCUUGUUUACAACAUGGAACUUGACUAUAUAUUACACAACAAAAGCUAAAAUUCUGUUGAGAUUUAAAUUACCUUUAGUAGACAGUAAAAAAUUGUAUUAUGUGUGAGAUUCUCUUAGUAGUUCAGAACUAUAAAACAAUACUGCAACAUUAAGGGAGAAAAUAAAAUAAAUUAGUAGAUUCGAAAUGAAAAAUGUAAUAAAACAGUAGCAGAAAGAAACUGAAGUAAACUGCAAGCAAAUAAAGAAAAGGACUAGUUACACUUACUAUAGGCUGCCAGAAUAGUUUAUGGUCUUAUAUAACAAGGAGCAACUGCAAAAAUCAGGGAGGAAAUACUAUAACAAUCACAACUAAAUUUCAGAGGAAAGCCACUGAAAUUUCAUGAGAUGUGCAAGCAAACAAUAAGAUACAGAAGGAAAAAAGAUUAUAUAUGACCUAAAUACAGAACUACAACACUGAAAAACUGUAGUGCAACAUUAAAGAGAAGAACAGACUAAAGCCAUGCAAGAGCUUAGUAUAACAAGGGGGACUAACCACAUUCCUUCUUCCAACACAUGAUAAUUUCCUAUUCAAUGAUUUCACCUUCUGAAAAAACAAAAAAAAAAUACAAGGGUCAAUAGAAACAAUCAUCAUCAAAAACAUAAUCAACUACUUCAAGAAAACAAAAAAAGCACACACAUGAUUCAAAUAGAACUUGAAUAGAGCUUUGACAAAGCCUCCAUCAUCACUAGAAAGUUCCAGAAAAAAACCAACAAACCCAAAUUAAAUAAACUGAAAGAGAGAAGAAAGAAGACAAUAAAAACUAGAGAAGAAGACAGAAAUGACUACCAAUGUCAUAGCAUUAGAACCAUCAUCCGUGAAGUCAUUAGGCACAAAUGGAUCAUUCAAAGAGUCUGCACUCUCAAUAGAUGAUACUAAUGGAACGUCCUGGUGAGUGACUUUCCGUAUCCUACCCAUUAGACUAAAAGGUAAAACAAAUCAUAAACCAAAUGAGAAACAUAUCCGGGAGCUAGCUCUAAACACAUGAAUAUUGCACAGGAAUGUAGCUCAAAAAUUGCAGAGGAUGAAAUAAAAUUACAGAGUAAUGCAGCUGAAAUUUACAGUCAAAUUACAUUGAAAAAACUGGGGAAUUAUAGUGUAAGUCUCUGUCAAAUUACAGAGUAAAUCUGAGGCAAAUUCCAGCGUAAAUCUCAGUCAAAUUACAGUGUAAUAUCUGGGACAUAUUACAGUGCAAACAUGGGGAAUUACAGUGUAAAACUCAGUCAAAUUACAUAGUAAAUCUGAGGCAAAUUCCAGUGUAAAGCUCGGUCAAAUUAUAGUGUAAUAUCUGGGAUUACAGUGCAAAUCUCGGGGAUUACAGUAUAAAUCUUGUUCAAAUUACAUAGUAAAUCUGAUGCAAAUUCUAGUGUAAAGCUCGGUCAAACUAUAGUGUAAUACGUAUCUGGGACAUAUUACAGUGCAAAUCUAGGGGAUUACAGUAUAAAUAUUGAUCAAAUUACAGAGUAAAAGUAGCUGAAAUAUACACAGAAAAUCUAGGGCAUAUUACAGUGUAAAAUCUUGGGAAUUACAGUGUAAAUCUCGGCUAAAUUACUGAGUAAAAGAAGCUAAAAUAUACAAAGUAAAUCUAGGGCAUAUUAGAGUGUAAAUCUCGGGCAAAUUACAGUGUAAAAGAAGCUCGAAUUUACGGAGAAACUCUGGGGCACAUUACAUGCAUAUCUGGGACAUUUUACAGUGCAUAUGACACCACCUACCUGAUAUUUGCAGACUAUAUAAGAAUGCUACACGGGAUACUACACUGCUAAAUCUAACACUAAAAAUUCAGAACAAAUUACAGUCCUACUACACAUGGAAUUAGAAAUUAAAUACCCAGGAAUUACAAUGACAGUGCACAGAGAAAAUACACGGGACUACCCCUGGGACUACAUGGCUCACUCUGCAAAAAUCUCAUACAUGAUUAAGCACUGAAAAAAGCCAAAGCCUAACACGGGGAAACAAUUAAUACUACCAAAAUACAAACAACUACAACAGAAAUCAGGGUUGGAGUAGAACUGCCAUGAACCAACCAGCUGAAGCAAACACAUAGCCUAUCUAUUUAGCAGAAAUCUCCGAACCCUAACCACAAAAGCAACCCUCUUAUGACACCUACCACUGCCUACAGCGAUGGGUUCAAAACAUGGGGACCUAAAACCUGACAACGACACCAUAACCCAGUACAACAGACCAGUUCAUACAUCUACAAAAAGAGUAGAGGGGGAACCAGCGGAAUCUACACAUACCCCGCAGCAGAACCAACAAUUGCAUCUACAAGAGCUAACAAAAUCCACAACAGCACCAGUAACCUACAGACACCGCAAAACCAAGCAAAAAAUAGAGUUAGAUCUGGAAGCUACAGGGACAGAAACAUGCGAAAUAUACAGGGGGAGGGGGCAGACGAGAACAACCAACCGGGCAACCGUGAAUCAAAAAGAAGUCAAGCUCCAGCAGAGGGGGGUCUCCGGAACGACAUGAACACGGCGGAACCGCCUCCUCUUCUCCGUCGCUCUCCCUCUCGCUCGCUCUCUGUCUCUCUACUGGUUAGAACAGUGCCGCCCAAAUGAAAUGGGGAAGGGAGAGGCGAAGAGAAAAUUCAAAGGAAAAAAUAAAGAAAAC
rnacentral:lncRNA from 1 species